rnacentral:rRNA from 1 species
UACGAAGAGGGCUAGCGUUGCUCGGAAUCACUGGGCGUAAAGCGCACGUAGGCGGAUUGUUAAGUCAGGGGUGAAAUCCUGGAGCUCAACUCCAGAACUGCCUUUGAUACUGGCGACCUUGAGUCCGGGAGAGGUGAGUGGAACUGCGAGUGUAGAGGUGAAAUUCGUAGAUAUUCGCAAGAACACCAGUGGCGAAGGCGGCUCACUGGCCCGGUACUGACGCUGAGGUGCGAAAGCGUGGGGAGCAAACAGG